GGGCGUGAUGCCACGUUAGGGGGCGUGGCCACGAUUUUGGGUCGAGCCGCCAUCUUAGUAGGCCAAACAAAGGGCUACAGGAGCGAAAGCACACGGAAACAUCAGCUUUUGUCGGUUGCAAUGUUAGAUCGCACGAUCGGGAAGGGAAUAAGCUGGAAAAUGGGCUCUCUUUUUAUCGUUUCCCCUCCUGGAAGCAACGUGAGGGAUCUCGUGUAUCUGAUAUUACCAAACGAAGACGUCAGGCUUGGAUAGCAGCGGUGAGACGAGCUGAUUUCGAGUCUCUGCCAUCAGGCAGGGAUGUUUUAAAGUGCUUUAUAAAUAAAGUUGGAUUGGAUUUGAGUAGAAUUAGAUAUAAGGAGAAUAUAAUAUAUUCAAUUCAGCGUAGCCUCCUAGAAGAGUCUGAUAGACCGAGUGCAGUUCAUGAUUCAAGACGUACCUGAUCUUCUCUGGCAGACUGGACUUUCAAAGUCACCAUCAGAAAGCUCCUCUGGUUCCUCCUGAGGGAAAAAAGCAUGUUCUGCAUCAAAUCUAAUCCAGUUGCACCAAAUCCCCGGUAACACAGAGCCACAUGCCUGCACUAAAAACUGUUUACACCUGAUAAAAGUGCAAUAUUAAUUAUGAAAAAUAAGUUAAAGGAACAGACUCACUCACUCACACACAAAAAAAAAAAGUGAAAAAUCAAAUGCAAAGCCAUCAACUGCAUUAAAGUGUUCCCACCAGCUCUGUAACUUGUGUUAAAAGAGCACCUUCUGCAACAAAUGUAAAUUUUCUGUAUUUUCAAAUAAAUGAACCAAACAUAUUAAAGAUUUGGAUUUGGUACCUGGAAGAAAUCCAUAUACAGCAAUGCCUGUUCCACAUUUCACAAAAAACUACAGCAAUAAUGACAAAAGGCAUCAAACAUUUAAAGUGUUUAUUGAGCAAAAUAACAAACCAAUAAAAAAUAAUAUUACUUGGAAUAUUUGAUGAUGGAGGAAAUCAGAUUUGGCCUGAAUUUCAGCUCAUGUGUCCACAAAUACAAUGUGUUGGAAAUCAAAGCGUUACCUCAUAUGAAGGGUUGGAGUUUGUCCUGAAUGCCUUGUGAGGCAGAGGCACUUUAGACGGAGGCUCAAGAUAGCAGCACGUGGCGAUAACAUGGGCGUAUCAGCUGCAUCGCCACUUAGGAAGGUCCAGUGUUUGCGUGCUGGACUGGUGUUUGCA